GGAUCAUGAUCGUGUCCGAUGAUCACGGACCCGCCGGAGACUCUCAAUGGAGAGGCGAUGAGUCACAGCCAAGCGAACUUUCUCUGCUCCUGAACAAAUUGCUUCUCCUCGUCGUCCCACUCCAAACCUAGAGGUGGGACAACCCCAGCAUCCUGGGCGUGAACGCACCCAGCUUGAUUGUCACAUGGGGAAUAGAGACCUCGCGCCUGCCUGGCAUAGGCCAACCCAGUAAUGUUCAUUUAAAGCUGGCUUUACUAGUCCUUCUUCCACAAUGAGAGGUGACCCUUCACUUCACCGAGAAAGGAAGGAAGAAAGGGAGAAACAGGAAAACUUUGAAGAAUCUUCCAGAUUUGCCUAACGCAGAUGUGCAUGACCUGACAAGAUAGAUGUGCCAUUUGGACCCUUUCAAGAGCAGACAGAAUGGAAGGGAGGCUGGAGUGCAAUGGUGUGAUCUCUGCUCCUGCAACCUGCGCCUCCUGAGUUCAAGCGAUUCUCCUGCCUCAGCCUCCCAAGUUGCUGGGAUUACAGGGGCCCGCCACCACGCCCAGCUAAUUUUUGUUAUUUUCAGUAGAGAUGGGGUUUCAUCAUGUUGGCCAGGCUAGUCUUGAACUCCUGAC
rnacentral:lncRNA from 1 species